rnacentral:rRNA from 1 species
GAUGAACGCUGGCGGCGCGCCUAAUACAUGCAAGUCGAGCGAAUGGAUUAAGAGCUUGCUCUUAUGAAGUUAGCGGCGGACGGGUGAGUAACACGUGGGUAACCUGCCCAUAAGACUGGGAUAACUCCGGGAAACCGGGGCUAAUACCGGAUAACAUUUUGAACCGCAUGGUUCGAAAUUGAAAGGCGGCUUCGGCUGUCACUUAUGGAUGGACCCGCGUCGCAUUAGCUAGUUGGUGAGGUAACGGCUCACCAAGGCAACGAUGCGGAGCCGACCUGAGAGGGUGAUCGGCCACACUGGGACUGGAACCCGGCCCAGACUCCUACGGGAGGCAGCAGUAGGGAAUCUUCCGCAAUGGACGAAAGUCUGACGGAGCAACGCCGCGUGAGUGAUGAAGGCUUUCGGGUCGUAAAACUCUGUUGUUAGGGAAGAACAAGUGCUAGUUGAAUAAGCUGGCACCUUGACGGUACCUAACCAGAAAGCCACGGCUAACUACGUGCCGGCCGCCGCCGUAA